rnacentral:rRNA from 1 species
CUGAUUGAUCCUGUCAGCAGUAUUUGCUUGUUCAGAAGACUAAGCCAUGCAUGUAUAAGUUCACACCUUAAUACGGUGAAACCGCGAAUGGCUCAUUAAAUCAGCUAUUAUUUAUUAGAUCUUACAAGAUUACUUGGAUAACUGUAGUAAUUCUAGAGCUAAUACAUGAAUAUGUGCUUUGGUUCACGCCAAAUGCGAAUUUAUUAGAUCAAAACCAACCGGUUUCGGCCGUUAAAUUGGUGACUCUGGAUAACUAUUCUGAUCGCAUGACCUUGUGUCGGCGACGUAUCUUUCAAGUGUCUGCCCUAUCAACUUAAGUUGGUGAGUUAGUUGCUCACCAUGGUUAUAACGGGUAACGGAGAAUCAGUGUUCGAUACCGGAGAGGGAGCCUUAAAGACGGCUACCACAUCUAAGGAAGGCAGCAGGCGCGCAAAUUACCCACUCUCAGAACGAGGAGGUAGUGAAUUUAAAUAGCGAUGAUGAACUCUUAUGAGGCUCGUCAAUCGAAAUGAGUACAAUUUAAAUCCUUUAACGAGUACCAAUUGGAGGGCAAGUCUGGUGCCAGCAGCCGCGGUAAUUCCAGCUCCAAUAGCGAAUAUUAAAUUUGUUGCAGUUAAAAAGCUCGUAGUUGGAUCCAAGGUUAGGCAUGCCUGUCUGUUCUUAGUAGCAUGACUGUGUGUGUCUGCCUUUAUUAGUUGAAUGUUCAUUAUGGUGGUCUUCAUCGACUGCUAUGAUGUGCUCAACACGUUUACCUUGAAAAAAUCAGAGCGAUCAAGGCAGGCCUUCGUGCUUGUAUGUUGUUGCAAGGAAUAAUAGAAUAGGACUUCGGUUCUAUUUUGUUGGUUUUGAGAAUUGAAGUAAUGAACAAUAGAGACAGUCGGGGGCAUUUGUAUGGUGGCGUUAGAGGUGAAAUUCUGAGAUCGUCGCCAGACAAACUACUGCGAAAGCAUUUGCCAAGGAUGUCUUCAUUAAUCAAGAACGAAAGUCAGAGGUUCGAAGACGAUCAGAUACCGUCCUAGUUCUGACCAUAAACGAUGCCGACCUACAAUCGGGGGUGGUUUAUUAUAUUGACCCUCCCGGCUGUCCUCAGGAAACUUUAAGUUGGUUCUGGGGGGAAUAUGGUCUCAAGACUGAAACUUAAAGGAAUUGACGGAAGGGCACCACCAGGAGUGGAGCCUGCGGCUUAAUUUGACCCAACACGGGGAAUCUCACCCGGUCCGGACACUGGUAGGAUGGACAGAUUGAUAGCUCUUUCUUGAUUCAGUGGGUGGUGGUGCAUGGCCGUUCUUAGUUGGUGGAGUGAUUUGUCUGGUUAAUUCCGAUAACGAACGAGACUCUGUCCUGCUAAAUAGUCCAGUGGCAUCAAUCACUAUGUGAUUACAGCUGCUGUUACUUCUUAGAGGGAUUCGCAGAUU